rnacentral:rRNA from 1 species
AUGAUCCUCAACGACGACGGAACCUAUGAUUCAAUGAGUGAAGGAGAAAUGGAAGCCCUUGAGCAAGUGGCCAUGCACCGUCAAGUGAACAACGAAGAUGAAGAUGAUCAAGUCUUUUGCGAUGAAGAUUCAAGCCCCGCUCUUGUUGUCUCCAAGGUCUUGACUCUUCAACAUCAACAAGACAAAGACCAAAGAUGCCAUAUCUUCCACACAAAGGCCGGCAUCAAUGGAAGGUCUGUCAAGGUCAUCAUCGAUGGAGGGAGUUGCCAUAACUUAGCAAGCGAAGAACUAUGCUCCAAGCUUCAAUUGGUCAAGAUGAAGCACCCGCACCCCUACACGGUUCAAUGGCUAAGUGACACUGGCACUUUGCAAAUCGAGCAUAGAGUACAAGUUUCUUUCAAUAUCGGAGCUUACGAAGACACUUUGGAGUGUGAUGUCAUCCCGAUGACCGUGUGCCACCUCCUUCUUGGACGGCCAUUCAAUUUGACCGAGGUGUCAUCCACAACGGACACACAAACCACUAGCUUCAAGAUGAAAGGAAGGGAGUUUGUGCUACGACCGAUGUCUCCAAGCCAAGUGCUCGCUGACAAGCAAGCUACCCAUCGUGGAGAAAAUAGUGAGAGAGCGAACCACCAAAAAGAGAGUGAGCGCCACAAGCCAAAAUUCAGUGCCUCCACAAUGAGUGACAAGACAAACUUAGUCCUAUUUGCCACCAAACGUGAGAUGAGAGAAGUGUGUGAGAACCCAUCAAGUGUCCUACAUAUGUCCUAUUGUGCAAGGACGAGGCACCAAAAACUAACACCUCUCACAAUUUACCUUUGGUGUUCUCUUCUUUAUUGCAAGAAUUUCAAGAUGUUUUCCCCGAUGAGCUACCUCCAGGUCUACCUCCACUACGAGGCAUCGAGCACCGCAUCGACCUCAUCCCCGGAGCGCCACAUCCAAACAAGGCUCCCUACCGAGUCAACCCCGAAGAAACCAAAGAAAUACAAAGGCAAGUAA